rnacentral:lncRNA from 1 species
CCUCAGCUCAGCUUCUCAAAAUGAGCCUCCCUGCUCAGUUCCUGGGGAUGCUGCUGCUUCUCUGGAUCCCUGGUGAGGACAGAGGGGAUGAGGAAGGAUAAGGGGGAGGAAGGUGAGCCCUUGGCCCCCAUUCUGCCAUGUGUGCUCUGUCCUCAUGAGAGAGGCACAAGUCUUGGCCUCUAGGAUAUUCUGGCACUGGUUAGGUAUUUGUGAGAGAGGAACAUUCCAGAAUGAGCAAGGACCUUCCUGUGAUGAAGAUUGUCACAUGAAAAGAGAAGGAUGCUUUAGGUGAAUUCUCCAGAGUCACUUAUGGAUUAGAAACUUGAUUCCUCUCUAAAAAACUGAUAUUUAGGCCACAUAAAUCAAAAUCAUAAAUACUAAUUCUAUGGAAAUAUAUAAAGAAAUACAAAUAUGUAUCAUAAUAUGACAAUAACUAUGCUUUUCUCUUUUUCCAGGAACCAGUGGUGAUGUUGUGCUGACCCAGACUCCUCUCUCUGAACCUGUCAUCCCAGGACAGCCAGCCUCCAUCUCCUGCAGGUCCAGUCAGAGCCUCCUACACAGUAAUGGAAACACGUAUUUGAACUGGGUUGUGCACAAGCCAGGCCAGGCUCCACAGGGCCUAAUAUAAGCGGUUUCCAACCGAUACACUGGGAUCUCAGACAGGUUCAGUGGCAGUGGGUCAGGGACAGAUUUCACACUGAGAAUCAGCAGGGUGGAGCCUGACGAUGCUGGGGUGUAUUACUGCUGGCAAGCUACACAUUUUCCUCCCACAGUGGUAUAGCCCCGAACAAAAAC